UGAGGGAUAGUUUAGUGGUAGAGCACUUGUCUAGGGUGCAAGAGGCCAUGGGUUCCAUCCCCAGCACCACAU
rnacentral:tRNA from 1 species